GAAAAGGGGGCGAAAAAAAAAGCAGCCCGGCGCCCGUUUCCCCGGUCCCGAUAAUUCACCUUCCAUUUUGUGAAUCGCUUCUUGAUGAAAGAAAGUGCCGCUCAAAUGGGCCCCGGGGGGCUGCUGGGGGGCCAUCCGGGCCCUGGGGGUCCUGGGGGGCGCGGGCGGGGGGCCGCCGCCGGGGCUCCUUGGCCCCUUCGCGCAGGCAGCCCGGCUGGCGAAGGCUGGGAGAGCGCGAGAGCGGAGCGCUUCCCCCUCGCCCAUCACGGCCCCAUUCGCUAAAAUGGCUUCUCGAAAGGCUCCGCGAGCUGCUGGAAGGGCUUAACAAAGCCACCGGCGCUCGUCUCUGCCGAUUCAGCCCCCGGGUCGGGCACCCACGGCGGGCAGCCGGCCCGGACCCGGCUCGUUUGGUAGAAAAAGCGAUGCUCUUUCCAACCAGCCCGUUUGCGGGGCGGAGAAAAGCCGGGGGGGUCCCGAAAAAGCGGUCGGAAAGCGGCCUCCCCCCCCCUCACACACUCCCUGCCGUUCCCCCUGCUUAGCGCAAUCGCCUGUCUAACAAAGGCAGCGCGCAGCCAUUACAAGCCUCAUUCCCCGCGCCGAAGGGAGGGAAAGGGCGGAAAAAAAGCCCUUCGCGGGCCCCCAGCGGCCCGCGAAGGGCAUGAGCGGAGAGAGAUAAAGACUGGGGGGCGGAGGAGAAAGGUUUGGGGGUUCGGGCCCCCCCCCUCCGCGGAUUUUGCCCCCGCGUCGCUCUCCCUCCCCGUCUCUGCCCGUCUUUCUUCCUUUAGGUCUGCUAGGGUAACGCCAGCCAUAUUAAGGCGCACACAGCAAAGCCUACGGCGGCAGCCCAGGCGCGAGGAAGGGUCGACUCGGGGUCUGGCGGCGGACGGAGGGCGGCCAAAAGGACCUUUUCCGAGAGGGGAAAAGAAAAGGAGGCGGAAACGAAAGAACCCGCUGAGGCUGGCUGAGAUGGGGAGUAACGGGACUAAAUUUUAAAGACAGCGCCACCAAUAAAAAAAGAUCUCUGCGCUGAGCUUUCGAACAGAUUCUUAUUUGAAGGGAUUUUAUUUUGGCCCCAGAAAACUGGACAGGAAUUAGACUGACUUCAAGGAGAUCCUGAUUUUUCUGCUUAAAUCAUGACUUCUUUCUAAUACCCGCAUCCAUAAGAGUUUCACAUCUCCCUCCCCUGCAAGGAACCAGUUCUCUGAAUCUUACUAAUUAAUAUCCCCAUUCCGUCCCAGUCACUUCCCAAACAAGUGGAAACACAGCUUUGACGUUAGAACAGCACUGAAAAAAGGAACUUGUGACCGAUCCUCGCUCUUGCAACCAGCGCAGAAUCCUGAUGGUCACAUGAUCAAAAUUCAGACGCUUGACAACCAGCCUGGAUUUAUGACAGUUGCAGAGUCACGUGAUCACCACUUGCGACCUUCCCAGGUGGCUGCCGAAGACCAAAAUCAACGGGAGAGGCUGCAUUCACUUAACACUCAUAUGAUUUGCUUAACAAACAUAACAAAACUCAUAAAAUCAGGCCUGACUCACUGAA